UACGGGGGGGGCAAGCGUUGUUCGGAAUUACUGGGCGUAAAGGGCUCGUAGGCGGCCAACUAAGUCAGACGUGAAAUCCCUCGGCUUAACCGGGGAACUGCGUCUGAUACUGGAUGGCUAGAGGUUGGGAGAGGGAUGCGGAAUUCCAGGUGUAGCGGUGAAAUGCGUAGAUAUCUGGAGGAACACCAAUGGCGAAGGCAGCUCGCUGGAACGGAACUGACGCUGAGGCGCGAAAGCGUGGGGAGCGAACAGG
rnacentral:rRNA from 1 species